CGUGGCUCAUGGCAAGCGAUCUUCGAGAAGAUAGCUCAAGAUAGAGCUCUCAUUCUCCUCACAAGUUCUCAAGACCAUCUCACUUAUUACCAAGCCAAGGCUCUCUCGGAGCCGCGCAUGAGCGUAACCUCACUUUCACUCUGUUUUUCUACCACUUCACUUUUCGUGUGCUCAAGUGCGACGAAUCGCUUAGGGAGUUUCUUUGUUUAAUGAUGAAUUGCCUUGGAUUAGAAGCAAUGCUCUCAAGCUUUUGGCUCAAAGUGCCCAAGAUUCCACAUGUCUUACUUUGUGUGUGAAGCUGAAGGAUCUACUAACCAUAUGUUGCAUGUCUCAACAGUUAACAAUCAAACAUACUUCGAUUAUGAACAAAAAGAUACUAUAACAUAUCGUGUUCUGCAGAGCACACGCAUGGGAAAAUAUGUGGCUUCCUGGAAGAG